rnacentral:rRNA from 1 species
UACGUAGGGUGCAAGCGUUGUCCGGAAUUAUUGGGCGUAAAGAGCUCGUAGGUGGUUUGUCGCGUUGUUCGUGAAAACUCACAGCUUAACUGUGGGCGUGCGGGCGAUACGGGCAGACUGGAGUACUGCAGGGGAGACUGGAAUUCCUGGUGUAGCGGUGGAAUGCGCAGAUAUCUGGAGGAACACCGGUGGCGAAGGCGGCAUCCUGGACCGGUAUUGGACGCUGAGGCGCGAAAGCCAGGGGAAGCCAAAGCGGGGAUUAAGCAUGACCCCCAGUA